rnacentral:rRNA from 1 species
GGGGCAAAGGUUUGCCUCAGUAGCGGCGAGUGAAGCGGCAAGAGCUCAGAUUUGAAAUCGUGCUUUGCGGCACGAGUUGUAGAUUGCAGGUUGGAGUCUGUGUGGAAGGCGGUGUCCAAGUCCCUUGGAACAGGGCGCCCAGGAGGGUGAGAGCCCCGUGGGAUGCCGGCGGAAGCAGUGAGGCCCUUCUGACGAGUCGAGUUGUUUGGGAAU